GUUAGGUGGGAAAAGGGGAAGACCCUAAAUCCCCAUGUAGGAUGCUCAACAAGACAUGAAUACUGAUGCUGAAUAACUCCUUAUGGUGAGUUAAUCCCAGGAGCAAAGAGAACAACUGGUACUGGGAGAAGCCUUCUACUAUGUUCCCCAGAAGAGAACAUUAGGGAUUACUCACUCCAUCUCAUUAUGUGAAGAUUUCCCCACACCUCCACUACCCAGAAGGACUGAAGUAUCCAACUGGUGAAAGUGGGGAAGGGAUCCUGACCCUGACCUACAGUUGUCUGUUCUUCCUACUCAUGACAACGUGACAAGUUUGAUUCAGUGGCAAUAACUACACUUCACCUUUGGAAGUCCCAGUUGUGCUCUGCAACUUAGCCUUUCUAGCAGUUCAGAGGAAAGCAUCUUUGGUAAGACAGACAAAAGCAACAGAGACUCCUCUAGGAUCAUAAUGCAGUAUAAUUAAGCUUUAAGAAGAGGUCGUUCUUGAUGAAUUACCUCACAGGAUUACUAGUCAAAGACACGCGGAGGGACUCCAGACAUGUGAC